rnacentral:rRNA from 1 species
GACGAACGCUGGCGGCGUGCUUAACACGUGCAAGUCGAACGGAAAGGCCCUGCUUUUGUGGGGUGCUCGAGUGGCGAACGGGUGAGUAACACGUGAGUAACCUGCCCUUGACUUUGGGAUAACUUCAGGAAACUGGGGCUAAUACCGGAUAGGAGCUCCUGCUGCAUGGUGGGGGUUGGAAAGUUUCGGCGGUUGGGGAUGGACUCGCGGCUUAUCAGCUUGUUGGUGGGGUAGUGGCUUACCAAGGCUUUGACGGGUAGCCGGCCUGGGAGGGUGACCGGCCACAUUGGGACUGAGAUACGGCCCAGACUCCUACGGGAGGCAGCAGUGGGGAAUAUUGCACAAUGGGCGGAAGCCUGAUGCAGCAACGCCGCGUGCGGGAUGACGGCCUUCGGGUUGUAAACCGCUUUCGCCUGUGACGAAGCGUGAGUGACGGUAAUGGGUAAAGAAGCACCGGCUAACUACGUG